AGGGCACACCAUGUUCUACCUGAGGACACAGAGACCACAGCCUGCAGGAUAGGUGCCUCAUCAGCUCCAGUGGAUUUGGGUGUUUGCUCAACAGAAGAACGCUCCUGCACAGAGCUCGAGAGUCCACAUAUGCAGCAGAGGGGAACAACGUUGGCACACCUACCUCAUGUCUCUGGCUGACUCAGCGUCACAUCGACUUGCAAUUUUCACAAUGAACCUCUCAGACACAGGACAAGAGAAGAGACUUAGCACGCUGCCAGUCUAUAUCCAGAAGAACUGAAGUGGAAGAAGACUUACAGUUUCCCAAAACAGGGAAGGGGAUAUCAAGGUAACAUUUCUGAACUGGAUGUAGCAUAGAAUAUUUCUCCUCUAGUGCC
rnacentral:lncRNA from 1 species